UUACGGCCAUACCAUGUUGAAACACCGAUCCCCGUACGAUCACCGAAACGUUAAGCAACGUCAAGUCUGGUCAGUACCUGGAUGGGUUAUCGCUUGGGCAUACCAGGUGUUGUAAG